rnacentral:misc_RNA from 1 species
GAUGAAGAACGUAGCGAAAUGCGAUAAGUAAUGUGAAUUGCAAAAUUCAGUGAAUCAUCGAAUCUUUGAACGCACAUUGCGCCCCUUGGUAUUCCGAGGGGCAUGCCUGUUCGAGCGUCAUUAUAACCCUCAAGCUCAGCUUGGUGUUGGGGCCUGCUGCACUGGCAGCCCUUAAAAUCAGUGGCGGCGCCAUCUGGCUCUAAGCGUAGUAAUUCUUCUCGCUAUGGAGUCCUGGUGGAUGCUUGCCAUCAACCCCCAAUUUUUCUAUGGUUGACCUCGGAUCAGGUAGGGAUACCCGCUGAACUUAAGCAUAUCAAUAAGCGGAGGA